rnacentral:rRNA from 1 species
UACAGAGGGUGCAAGCGUUAAUCGGAGUUACUGGGCGUAAAGGGCGCGUAGGUGGUUUUAUAAGUUGGAUGUGAAAGGCCUGGGCUUAACCUAGGAAUUGCAUACGAGACUGUAGGACUAGAGUACUGUAGAGGGUAGUGGAAUUUCCGGUGUAGCGGUAGAAAUGCGUAGAGAGUCGAAGGAACACCAGUGGCGAAGGCGGCUACCCUGGACAGAUACUGACACCGAGGCGCGAGAGCGUGGGGAGCAAACAGG